ACAGGUGCCUGCGAAAGCGAAAGCUGAAGUAUAGGUGCUGACGCCUGCCCGGUGCCGGAAGGUUAAGGAGAGAGGUCAGCUAAGGCGAAGCUUCGAACUGAAGCCCCGGUGAACGGCGGCCGUAACUAUAACGGUCCUAAGGUAGCGAAAUUCCUUGUCGGGUAAGUUCCGACCCGCAUGAAAGGCGUAAUGAUUUGGGCACUGUCUCAACGAGGGGCCCGGUGAAAUUGAAAUACCUGUGAAGAUGCAGGUUACCCGCGACUGGACAGAAAGACCCCAUGGAGCUUCACUGCAGCUUGAGACUGAAUCCCGGUGACAGACGCACAGGAUAGGUGGGAGACUUUGAAGUAUAUUUUUCGGAAGAUACAGAGUCAAUGUUGGGAUACCACCCUUCUGUUGCUGGGCUUCUAACGCAAGGAGUAACGACCCUGCGGACCCUCUCAGGUAGGCGGUUUGACUGGGGCGGUCGCCUCCGAAAGAGUAACGGAGGCGCCCAAAGGUUCCCUCAGGCCGGACAGAAACCGGCCAAAGAGUGCAAAGGCAGAAGGGAGCUUGACUGCGAGACCAACAAGUCGAGCAGAGACGAAAGUCGGGCUUAGUGAUCCGGUGGUACUGAGUGGAAAGGCCAUCGCUCAACGGAUAAAAGCUACCCUGGGGAUAACAGGCUAAUCUCUCCCAAGAGUUCAUAUCGACGGGGAGGUUUGGCACCUCGAUGUCGGCUCAUCACAUCCUGGGGCUGGAGUAGGUCCCAAGGGUUGGGCUGUUCGCCCAUUAAAGUGGUACGCGAGCUGGGUUCAAAACGUCGUGAGACAGUUUGGUUCAUAUCCAUCGCGGGCGCAAGAAGUUUGAGGGAAGCUGCUCCUAGUACGAGAGGACCGGAGUGGACGGAUCAACGGUGUACCGGUUGUCACGCCAGUGGCACGGCCGGAAAGCCGCAUCCGGAAGGGAUAAACGCUGAAAGCAUCUAAGCGUGAAGCCCCACCCGAGAUGAGACUUCUCAUCAGCAAUGAGUAAGACCCCUUAAAGACGAUGAGGUAGAUAGGCUGUGAGUGGAAGAUCUGCAAAGAUUGGAGCGACACAGUACUAAUAGGUCGAGGUCUUAACUUA
rnacentral:rRNA from 1 species